CUGUGAGCUCGAUGAGUAGGGCGGGACACGUGGUAUCCUGUCUGAAUAUGGGGGGACCAUCCUCCAAGGCUAAAUACUCCUGACUGACCGAUAGUGAACCAGUACCGUGAGGGAAAGGCGAAAAGAACCCCGGCGAGGGGAGUGAAAAAGAACCUGAAACCGUGUACGUACAAGCAGUGGGAGCACGCUUAGGCGUGUGACUGCGUACCUUUUGUAUAAUGGGUCAGCGACUUAUAUUCUGUAGCAAGGUUAACCGAAUAGGGGAGCCGAAGGGAAACCGAGUCUUAACUGGGCGUUAAGUUGCAGGGUAUAGACCCGAAACCCGGUGAUCUAGCCAUGGGCAGGUUGAAGGUUGGGUAACACUAACUGGAGGACCGAACCGACUAAUGUUGAAAAAUUAGCGGAUGACUUGUGGCUGGGGGUGAAAGGCCAAUCAAACCGGGAGAUAGCUGGUUCUCCCCGAAAGCUAUUUAGGUAGCGCCUCGUGAAUUCAUCUCCGGGGGUAGAGCACUGUUUCGGCAAGGGGGUCAUCCCGACUUACCAACCCGAUGCAAACUGCGAAUACCGGAGAAUGUUAUCACGGGAGACACACGGCGGGUGCUAACGUCCGUCGUGAAGAGGGAAACAACCCAGACCGCCAGCUAAGGUCCCAAAGUCAUGGUUAAGUGGGAAACGAUGUGGGAAGGCCCAGACAGCCAGGAUGUUGGCUUAGAAGCAGCCAUCAUUUAAAGAAAGCGUAAUAGCUCACUGGUCGAGUCGGCCUGCGCGGAAGAUGUAACGGGGCUAAACCAUGCACCGAAGCUGCGGCAGCGACGCUGAUGCGUUGUUGGGUAGGGGAGCGUUCUGUAAGCCUGCGAAGGUGUGCUGUGAGGCAUGCUGGAGGUAUCAGAAGUGCGAAUGCUGACAUAAGUAACGAUAAAGCGGGUGAAAAGCCCGCUCGCCGGAAGACCAAGGGUUCCUGUCCAACGUUAAUCGGGGCAGGGUGAGUCGACCCCUAAGGCGAGGCCGAAAGGCGUAGUCGAUGGGAAACAGGUUAAUAUUCCUGUACUUGGUGUUACUGCGAAGGGGGGACGGAGAAGGCUAUGUUGGCCGGGCGACGGUUGUCCCGGUUUAAGCGUGUAGGCUGGUUUUCCAGGCAAAUCCGGAAAAUCAAGGCUGAGGCGUGAUGACGAGGCACUACGGUGCUGAAGCAACAAAUGCCCUGCUUCCAGGAAAAGCCUCUAAGCAUCAGGUAACAUCAAAUCGUACCCCAAACCGACACAGGUGGUCAGGUAGAGAAUACCAAGGCGCUUGAGAGAACUCGGGUGAAGGAACUAGGCAAAAUGGUGCCGUAACUUCGGGAGAAGGCACGCUGAUAUGUAGGUGAAGUCCCUCGCGGAUGGAGCUGAAAUCAGUCGAAGAUACCAGCUGGCUGCAACUGUUUAUUAAAAACACAGCACUGUGCAAACACGAAAGUGGACGUAUACGGUGUGACGCCUGCCCGGUGCCGGAAGGUUAAUUGAUGGGGUCAGCGCAAGCGAAGCUCUUGAUCGAAGCCCCGGUAAACGGCGGCCGUAACUAUAACGGUCCUAAGGUAGCGAAAUUCCUUGUCGGGUAAGUUCCGACCUGCACGAAUGGCGUAAUGAUGGCCAGGCUGUCUCCACCCGAGACUCAGUGAAAUUGAACUCGCUGUGAAGAUGCAGUGUACCCGCGGCAAGACGGAAAGACCCCGUGAACCUUUACUAUAGCUUGACACUGAACAUUGAGCCUUGAUGUGUAGGAUAGGUGGGAGGCUUUGAAGUGUGGACGCCAGUCUGCAUGGAGCCGACCUUGAAAUACCACCCUUUAAUGUUUGAUGUUCUAACGU
rnacentral:rRNA from 1 species